AUAGAUGAAACCCGCAAGAGCUGCAACAACCCUAGCGCCGCAGUCCCCAUCGCAGCCGCGCGCGUGGCCAGGGCCGGCGCGAGCUCGCCCGCAUCUCCGCCCGCCCGCCAGCGCCGCAUCUCCAACCCGCGCGGACUACAUCCAGUAGGUCGCGCCGCAACGGCCUGGUCAAGAAGGCCUACGAACUCUCCAUGCUCUGCGACGCCGAGGUCGUGCUCAUCAUCUUCCCCAGCCGCGGCAAGCUCUACGAGUUCGGCACUGCCGGAUCUGCAAAAGUGAAGUCACCAUUGGAGGAUUUAUUUUCUGCAUAUCUCUAACUUACGAAAACGCCGCGAUUCCCGGGCCGUGGAGCGGGGCCACGUCGCCUGUAACCCGUUAACCGUCCGAUCCACCUAACUCGCUGCCUCGACCGUCCGAUGCGGCUCGGGCUGGGUCUGUCGCCCGUUAUUCCACUCACCCGGGGACUCGGGAACCUUCGCGGACCCGCUCCGAGGCCGGCCUAUCCCCUCCACGGCCGCCGCUUCUCCCCCACCGGCUGGCCGAGGCCCCCCUGUGGCUGGCUCCUUGUGGCGAUGGCCGAGGAACACGCGGCCGGCUCCUCCAGCAAAAAAGCAGCGAGCGCGAGGGGAGGCCCCCCCGCAGCUGGCUCCUCGCGUCGGCGGCCCACGGCCACGCCACCGGCGGCUCCUCCAGCAGAGCGGCCCCAAGGUUGGGGGAGGGGACCCAGUCUCCCCUGCCUUUUUCUCUUGCCCAGAUCUUCGCAAGGAACUCCGAAGGAACACCGUCGCAAGCUCUUCGCUGGGAGCCUGGUACCCAACCACCAUAAAUUGUCUAGGAAGCCAAAAGAACAACCUAUCCCAAAUUAAAAAGAAAUAAAAGUUAACAGGUAUGUAACAUAAACAAGUUUGUUCUUGAUGCAUCAUGAAAAGAUAAACUGUUGAAUUACUAUCGGUAAUCGUGUUGGUGCUAUCAUUCAACUCAAACAGGACAGAUGAAACAUAACUUCCAAACACUCGAACUCGAAGUAGUAUGCAAUAGUCAACUUUGAUCUUAUCUUACUUGUGCCUUCUGUUGUAUGUUCCCUGCCACUCUUACCUCAGGCUAGGAAUAGUUAAAGCUAUCGAGGAAUUUAAGACUUCAGUCUAUGUUGAAAAUUAUGACCAAGAGGAGGCUGAAUUUCACAAGCCAACAACAUCUUUAUCAUACUUUUAAGUUUUAAGCACUUAUUCUUUUAGUUAGAUGCAUCCAUUACCAACUCUAGAUGAUUCAUUGCUUCUGGUAUAAUGGCUCAUACCCUAUUGGAUGAGGCUCACCACCUACCAUGAUCAUUGAAGUUGUCUAAAGCAUGUUGUUCAGUUAUGUGCUUAUCAAAAAUCUUUGUAAGAUAUCUUUCCUAUAUCCAGCAAUGAAAUGUUUGCGUAGUAGUAUCUGGCACUAAGAAGACAAGUCUUUUGACAAUAUAUUUAGGUUCCUGGAAUUGUCUUUGCAAGAGGACCUGCAUUGCUGUGUUGAUUCUACUGAGCAGGUUAGAGUUAUUGGAAAUUUUGUUUGGAACCUCCAACUGGAAUGCUAGAUGAUGAAAAAGGUUAUUUUGUUGGCACCACAGUCUGUGAGGUUAGCAACUUUUCUUAUCCUAAUCUAACGAGUAUUUAAGUUCAGGUAUUAUUUUUAGGGAAUAAGUCAGGCUUGUUGGUCCUGCCUGAUAUUGGUUCACAUUUGACAUACCACAAUAUAUCAUUGUUGCUGUCAUAUUUCCUACUUGAACCUGUAAAGCAUGAUCUGUAACUGCUGACUGGUUAAAGAAAAAAACUGGUAACCUUUUUUUUCAGUUUGCUAACCUCUGAUGCAAUCAUGCAGCUUCUAUUCCAGAAAAGAAUUGUCCGAGUAGGCCGGGUAACUCAAUUUUGCCGGAGAUUAGGCAGCAUUGAGUAGGUAAUCUUUAUUUGGAAUCUUACAUGAGCAUAAUUUACUCCUCUUGAGAGGUUAGCACUGCAAGAUCGGUGCUGGACUGGGGAGCGUCGGCGACGCCACAACCUUCAGCAGUCAGCGGAGUGCGCCCUCUGCGCGCAGGAGGACGAGUCCAUCGACCACCUCCUGCUUGGUUGUGUCUUUAGCAGGGAGGUUUGAUUCAGGACUCUAAACCCGCUGGGUUUGGCCGCUCUAGCUCCCUUGCCGGUAGAUUCACUUGCAGAUUGGUAGCUUGCAGCUCGGAAGCAGGUCCCAAAGGCGCAUCGGAAAGGGUUUGACUCCCUUGUCACCCUCGUCUGCUGGUCGCUUUGGAAGGAGCGUAAUAGUUGUGUCUUUGAGGGUAGAUCGGAGCAGCCGUCUGUGGUUUGCUCCAAGGUAGCGAGCGAGAUCUCGGUGUGGGUCUUAGCUGGUUUUGUGUCCCUUAGGUCGCUCAGCGUUGUUGUGUAAUUAAACCUUAAAGAUAGGGGGCGGCGCUCGGCGCCAUGUAAUACUCUUAAGUGCCAGGAUCACUUAGGUGAUCUUAGUACUUGGUCGCUCUCUUUCCGCUUAAUGAAAUAACGUGCUUCGGCACGUUCGCGAAAAAAAGAUAUGAAAAAUGUGACCAACUGUGAUAUGGAGCAUCAACCGAAUUACAAGUUGCUGAUUUUUGCAAAUUCAGUCUGUAGCUGCAUCUGCCAACAUUCCUGCAAAGCUUUUGAUUUCAUGGUAAAGUUGGAAGGGUUAAAGCAUCAUGCUACUUGGCAUUUCUGAGAAGUUCGCUUGUAGCGGCAGCCAUGUGGUUCUCAGAAGUGCCGGGAAGCUUUUCCGAGCUUGACGGGAGCCACCGAUCACCAGGAUGCCAGCAACAUCGACAUCCACUUGCCCAAGCUAAAGCCCCAAGGUGAGAGAGGGCGUGGACAACACGGGGACUGCUCCACUUCUUUGCCGUGCGCAGGGACAAGGCAAUGCUGUGGUGCAGCACGUCAAGGAAAGGGGCUAUGCUCGCCACCAGCGAGGAGGCUCAGGUUCAAUGACAAUUUCCCCUGCGCGAGCCAUGCCAGGAAGAUAUUUGUCGAUAUGGAUAAAAGAGGUUUAUAUAUGACAACUGUAUGCACAUUUCGUAGUAAUGAAUUUAGUUCUCUGUUGGACUCUUCAGUUUCAUACAGUAUUGGUGGUCAACAAGAUGUUGUUAGUAACAUAGCUGUUGUUUGAACAAAUAUGACUACUGAAUAUGCAUGAAACUCACUUAAGAAUCUCAAACUUGAGCCUUCAUAUUUGGUUUCUCUAUGACUUGGUUGUAUCAGCUAUAUCUAUUGUAUCGUGCUCUGCUAUACAAAUGAAAGUUUGGUUUCAGGAACUGCCCUCCGUAAAUUCGCUCUUUAUUUUCCCUCAAGGUUACACACGGCUUAAAUAUUGGUCCACGCGACAAGGCCGCGUGGUCUUUCUAGUUCUUCAGAAACACCUGAUGCAAACAACAACUAUCAGCCACAAUCCAAUGAUGAGACCAUCCAUGAAGAUGACCCCUGGGCAGACCGAGAACAACACCUUACUGCACAAAAAAAGAACGCAGUGAAAAAUGAGCUUCAAGUAUAUUUGCAAGAUGACCUUUUUCCUCGACAAAAGGAUUUCGACAUUCUACAAUGGUGGUGGAUGCACUCUGCUAAAUACCCUGUGCUUUCGCGUAUGGCAAGGGAUCUAUUUGCAGCACCUGCAUCAACUGUAGCUUCUGAGUCUGCAUUCUCUACUAGUGGGAGAGUUAUUAGUGACUAUAGAAGCCGGUUGACAAGCAAGAAUGUAGAAGCAUUAAUUUGCCUCCAGGACUGGUUGAGAGCAGAAGGCCAUACUAACUUCAAGAUUGCAGAAGGUGAUAUUAGCGAUGAUGAGGGUCAGUUAGAAUAACAGGUAUUUUUUUCUUCUUGAAUCUGUUAUGCAGCAGAGUUCCUUCUCUGCUGUCCUGUUUUGGACAUGAGAGAAACCUUGUAGCUGUUAGUUAGCUUUUCUGUAAUUUGUUUAUACUGAAAAUCAGUUGCCUCAUGUAUGCAACUAGCACCUGUCAAUUCCAGUCAUAGAGCACUUGUCAAUGCUUGUGGUCACUCGAAUGUUUAAUUAAUCUGGAAAGUAUGCUUGGUAAAAAAAAUUCAGAUAGCAAGCA